UGUGCCACAAACCCUAAAACCCUUGUCUAUUAUGACCCAUUUCAUCUCUUUGUUAAGGAUCGUGCUACGAGGAACAUACUUCUUAGAGGUCGCUACCGCCAUGGUUUAUAUGCUCUUGAUGCCCCCACUGACGUUCCUGCUCUUGCUGCUGCGUUCCAAGUCUUCAGUGGCGUCCGUGUGUCUCCAUCACUAUGGCACUCUCGUCUUGGUCACCCAGCUUCUCCCAUUGUACGCCAUGUCCUCCAUCGUCAUGAGCUACCGUCCGAGUCUAGUAAUAAAGAUGCCGCCGUCUAUGAUGCCUGCCAGCAAGGCAAGAGUCAUCAGUUACCUUUUUCUGUUUCUACACAUAUAGUCAAAACUCCUCUUGAGCUUGUGUUUUCAGAUGUAUGGGGUCCUGCCCAGCUGUCCGUUAGUGGGCAGGAAUAUUAUGUCAGUUUCAUUGAUGCUUAUAGUCACUUUACCUGGAUUUAUCUUCUUAAGCAUAAGUCUGAUGUGUUUAAUGUGUUUUUACAAUUUCAAGCACAUGUUGAGAGACUCCUAAAUCAUAAAAUCAUUCAUGUACAAUCAGACUGGGGGGGGGGGGUGAGUACCGCAACCUCAGUACCUUCUUUGAAAAACUUGGAAUUGCUCAUCGUGUUUCUUGCCCACAUACACAUCAGCAGAAUGGCUCAGCUGAACAUAAGCACCAUCAUAUUGUUGAAACUGGGUUAA
rnacentral:rRNA from 1 species